UGCCUCCCAAUGCUUACCACAGGCUGUGUUCUUUACACUGACUGUAUAGAAAGAGGAGGUACAGUAAAAAUGCACCCCAUAUACACCUCAGCCCAGGCUCUUUGCUGGUUUGUAUUCUGAAUGGGGCGACAUAA